rnacentral:rRNA from 1 species
UACGUAGGGUGCAAGCGUUGUCCGGAAUUAUUGGGCGUAAAGAGCUCGUAGGCGGUCUGUCGCGUCUGCUGUGAAAACUCAGGGCUUAACCCUGAGCUUGCAGUGGGUACGGGCAGACUAGAGUGCGGUAGGGGAGACUGGAAUUCCCGGUGUAGUGGUGAAAUGCGUAGAUAUCGGGAGGAACACCAGUGGCGAAGGCGACUACCUGGCCUGUUUCUUGACGCUGAGGCGCGAAAGCUAGGGGAGCAAACGGG